rnacentral:rRNA from 1 species
GACGAACGCUGGCGGCGUGCUUAACACAUGCAAGUCGAACGGAAAGGCCCCUUUGGGGGUACUCGAGUGGUGAACGGGGGAGUAACACGUGAGUAACCUGCCCUUGACUUCGGGAUAACUUCAGGAAACUGGGGCUAAUACUGGAUAGGAAUCCUUGCUGCAUGGGGGGGGUUGGAAAGCUUCGGCGGGUUUGGAUGGACUUGCGGGGUAUCAGCUUGUUGGUGGGGUUGUGGCUUACCAAGGCUUCGACGGGUGGCCGGCCUGAGUGGGCGACCGGCCACAUUGGGACUGAGAUACGGCCCAGACACCUACGGGAGGCAGCAGUGGGGAAUCUUGCACAAUGGGCGGAAGCCUGAUGCAGCAACGCCGCGUGCGGGAUGACGGCCUUCGGGUUGAAAACCGCUUUCAGCAGGAGCGAAGCUUGUGGUGACGGUACCUGCAGAAGAAGCACCGGCUAACUACGUG